rnacentral:rRNA from 1 species
GACGAACGCUGGCGGCGUGCUUAACACAUGCAAGUCGAACGAUGAAGCCCAGCUUGCUGGGUGGAUUAGUGGCGAACGGGUGAGUAACACGUGGGCAACCUGCCCCAAACUCUGGGAUAACUCCUCGAAAGAGGUGCUAAUACCGGAUACGAACUAGACAGACAUCUGUACUAGUUGGAAAGUUUUUCGGUUUGGGAUGGGCCCGCGGCCUAUCAGCUUGUUGGUGAGGUAACGGCUCACCAAGGCUACGACGGGUAACCGGCCUGAGAGGGCGACCGGUCACACUGGGACUGAGACACGGCCCAGACUCCUACGGGAGGCAGCAGUGGGGAAUAUUGCGCAAUGGGCGAAAGCCUGACGCAGCGACGCCGCGUGAGGGAUGAAGGUCUUCGGAUCGUAAACCUCUUUCAGUAGGGACGAAGCGAAAGUGACGGUACCUAAAGAAGAAGCACCGGCUAACUACGUGCCAGCCGCCGCAGUAA